AGCUCUGUAAGCGUAUACCAAAGUUGUUGCAGUUAAAACGCUCGUAGUCGGACCUUGGCGGGCGACCAGGGGCGUCUUCACUGAUGUGUUUUGGUUGGCCGCCUCUGUGGAGGGGGGCCCAGUGGUGCUUCACUGCGCUACUGUGGUCGCUGCCACCUUUUACUGUAAAAAAAUUAGAGUGUUCAAAGCGGGCGUUUUCCAUGAAUACAUUAGCAUGGAAUAAUAGAAUAGGACCUGGUUCCUGUAUUGUUGGUUUAUGAGAGUCGGGUAAUGAUUAAGAGGGACAGUUGGGGGCAUUUGUAUUCCGGCGGCAGAGGUGAAAUUAUUGGAUUGUCGGAAGACAAAUGGCUGCGAAAGCGUCUGCCAAGGACCUUUUCA
rnacentral:rRNA from 1 species